GACGAACGCUGGCGGCGUGCUUAACACAUGCAAGUCGAACGGAAAGGCCCUGCUUGCCGGGUACUCGAGUGGCGAACGGGUGAGUAACACGUGGGUGAUCUGCCCUGCACUUCGGGAUAAGCCUGGGAAACUGGGUCUAAUACCGGAUAGGAGCCAUUUUUAGUGUGAUGGUUGGAAAGUUUUUUCGGUGUAGGAUGAGCUCGCGGCCUAUCAGCUUGUUGGUGGGGUAAUGGCCUACCAAGGCGGCGACGGGUAGCCGGCCUGAGAGGGUGGACGGCCACAUUGGGACUGAGAUACGGCCCAGACUCCUACGGGAGGCAGCAGUGGGGAAUAUUGCACAAUGGGCGCAAGCCUGAUGCAGCGACGCCGCGUGGGGGAUGACGGCCUUCGGGUUGUAAACUCCUUUCGCUAGGGACGAAGCUUUUUGUGACGGUACCUAGAUAAGAAGCACCGGCUAACUACGUG
rnacentral:rRNA from 1 species